UGCAUAUCAAUAGCGGAGGAAAAGAAACCAACCGGGAUUGCCCCAGUAGCGGCGAGUGAAGCGGCAGGAGCUCUAGUUUGAAAUCUUCGGAGAUGUAGAGACGGGGAGUGGGCAUUGGAGUCCCCUGGAACGGGGCGCGACGCGAGGUGACAGCCCUCGGAGACCAGCCCCCUGUCUGGUGAGUCGAGUUGUUUGGGAAUGCAGCUCUAGUGGUGGUAUGCUCCAUCUGCGGCUAAAUAUUGGCGAGAGACCGAUAGCAGACAAGUACUGUGAAGGAAAGAUGAAAAGCACUUUGAAAAGAGAGUGAAAGAGGGCGUGAAAUUGUUGAAAGGGAAGGGUGGGUUUCUGUGGAGAUCCACCGCCCGUCUUGAAACACGGACCA
rnacentral:rRNA from 1 species